rnacentral:rRNA from 1 species
UACGGAGGGGACUAGCGUUGUUCGGAAUUACUGGGCGUAAAGCGUGCGCAGGCGGUUAUGUAAGACAGGGGUGAAAUCCCCGGGCUUAACCUGGGAACUGCAUUUGUGACUGCAUAGCUAGAGUACGGUAGAGGGGGAUGGAAUUCCGCGUGUAGUGGUGAAAUGCGUAGAUAUCGGGAGGAACACCAGUGGCGAAGGCGGCUUUCUGGCCUGUUCUUGACGCUGAGGCGCGAAAGCUAGGGGAGCGAACGGG